AAACAAACAAUCAAAAUUCAAAACAAACAACAGGUUAACAUCAGGAAAGCAAUAAUUGAGAUCUCACAAGUUUGAUUUAUAAAUUUGAAAUUGUGUUUAAUGUAAAACAAAAAAAUAUUACCCGGAAUGCGUGUGGAACCGUAGAACUAUGGGAAGAAAAUCUUCUUCCCUAAAAAAGUGAAACAGGUUUUAUGGUAACCGCGUCCGAAGUGCAAACGAAAGUGCACUUCACCCAACAUUUUAG